CUCCGGUUGAUCCUGCCGGACCCGACUGCUAUCAGAGUGGGACUAAGCCAUGCGAGUCAACGUAGCAAUACGUGGCAUACGGCUCAGUAACACGUAGUCAACAUGCCCAGGGGACGAGGAUAACCUCGGGAAACUGAGGAUAAACCUCGAUAGGCCAUGAUUUCUGGAAUGAUUCUUGGCUCAAACCUAUAUGGCCCCUGGAUUGGACUGCGGCCGAUCAGGCUGUUGGUGAGGUAAUGGCCCACCAAACCUGUAACCGGUACGGGCUCUGAGAGGAGGAGCCCGGAGAUGGGCACUGAGACAAGGGCCCAGGCCCUAUGGGGCGCAGCAGGCGCGAAACCUCUGCAAUAGGCGAAAGCCUGACAGGGUUACUCUGAGUGACUUUCGCUAAGAAAGUCUUUUGGCACCUCUAAAAAGGGCGCAGAAUAAGGGGUGGGCAAGUCUGGUGUCAGCCGCCGCGGUAAUGCCAGCACCCCGAGUGGUCGGGACGAUUAUUGGGCCUAAAGCAUCCGUAGCCGGUUCUGCAAGUCCCCCGUUAAAUCCAGCUGCUCAACAGAUGGGCCGCGGAGGAUACUACAGAGCUAGGAGGCAGGAGAGGCAAGCGGUACUCAGUGGGUAGGGGUAAAAUCCGUUGAUCCAUUGAAGACCACCAGUGGCGAAGGCGGCUUGCCAGAACGCGCUCGACGGUGAGGGAUGAAAGCUGGGGGAGCAAACCGGAUUAGAUACCCGGGUAGUCCCAGCCGUAAACGAUGCAGACUCGGUGAUGGGUUGGCUUCGCGCUAACCCAGUGCCGCAGGGAAGCCGUUAAGUCUGCCGCCUGGGGAGUACGGUCGCAAGACUGAAACUUAAAGGAAUUGGCGGGGGAGCA
rnacentral:rRNA from 1 species